GGACAUGACUACAUUAGCAAAGCUCAUGAGGCCCAUCCCUAACCAGGCUCAGCCUGGCCUGCUAAAUGAUCCAUCAAAUCUAGUAGCCCAGAGAUAGAAUUUAAACCAACUAGCAUCAGUUGUUUUGGCAUUCUCCGGCAGCUGCUUCCGAUUCUGAAUCUGUCGCCGGCGACACUUGAAAUAUAAGCAAUGUUGAAACGUGGUAGCAAAUCAAGGGCUUGGCUUGGAUUUCAAAACUAUUGGGUGCCUGUUUCAAUCACUUGUCUGGUUCUGGUUGUUUUAUGUUUAGUAGCGAAUUUUGGCAAUGAUGGCAAAAGGACCUACUCUUCUGUAGGAUUGUCAUCGCAGGAACUGAAUGCUUUUGAGCCUGAGGAGUUUCACCCAACUGUAGAGUUUAGAAAUGGUACCGAUGUGAUAUGGCAAAUACCCGAUUCACCAAAAGCAGUCCUCUUUCUGGCUCACGGAUGUAAUGGAAGAGCUGUCAACUUUUGGGAAAGAUCUCCUGGAUGUGCUAAUUGCAUUGGUUUGCCCGAGGAAAGGCUUCUUGUGCUUCACGCGCUUGCUAAGAAAUUUGCAGUUCUGACAAUAUCAAGUGCAGGUAGAUGCUGGACUUUUAGAGAAGAAUUGUUGAUUGUUAAAAAUAUUAUAAAAACGUGGGUAAGGAGGAAUGAGCUUGAAAAGCUACCGCUUGUUGCUUUGGGGGCUUCUUCUGGUGGAUACUUUGUCUCUGCACUUGCCACCACCAGUUUAAGAUUUAGCAGCAUUACCAUUAUGAUUGCUGAAGGAAUAUUUGAUCGAAUUGAUAUCACAGAUAACUAUCCGCCAACACUUUUUGUGCAUAUGCCUAAAGAUUUAUCUAGACAACAAAAGAUAAGCGAAGCAGUUGAAAUUCUAAAGAAUAAAGGCAUUGAUGUUGCGGAGGUUGAGUGCAUUGAGUUCCCUUUAUCACCAAGUCUUUUAGCUGAUAGAAUUCCCAGACUUGAUCAUACUGUUUCUGCGAGGUUGUUUAAGCUGUUUCAGGAUAAGGGCUUUAUUGACAGGAAUGGAUAUAUGAAGAAAGACGGGCGAGCUACAAACUGGAAAGCAGCUCUACGUGAUACUAAGGAUCUUUUAUUAGAUGAAAAUUUGGUCCAACAUGUUCAGGAGGAACUAAAUCUUGCAUUUGCAUACCAUGAAAUGACUAGCUUGCAAUCUCAGCAAAUCUUUAAAUGGUUUGAAUCUCAUAUGGAGUAGUCACAAGUCAGGACAUUAUAAAAGACAUGUUUCCUUCCUCGAGAUUGAAAGAGUAAAUUUCCAACUGAAGUUUGUACUUUGUAUGGAAAAGAAGAGAAGAUUUUCCAGCUCAAGUAAGACGAAGCCUAAAAGCUGAAGAAUGGGUUGCCUUUAGAAUCACCCUGAUUCAGCAUCAAACUCCAUUAUCUUUUACCAUGUUCCAAAAAAAGGAAAAAGAGGAAGUAAGCAUUUGAAUCCCUUACAAGCUGCAAAGCCUGCAAUAGCAGAACUUGACUUUUGCAUAAUUUCUAGAGGGAAAUUACUGAUUACGAGAUGUAACCAGGAUAUAUGCUGGCCACUGAUUUGUGGUGGAGCUGUAAGUGAACUACUGAGCUUGGUACUCUCUGUUCUCCAAAUAAAAAAAGAGCGACUCAUUUCAUCAGUGUUGGUUCCUUUGCUAACUUAUCGGUAUCGGAGCCACAAUUUUGAGUUUAAGGUAAUAUCUAUCACCUUUUCAUCUUGAAAUUAAGGAGAAAACAUGCAUUUAAAGAACAUCUGAUAAUUUUCCUUUACUUGCACGUUACUCAUUUUAUAUCUAUGCAAGCCUACAACGCGAGCAUAUGCACCUUAUAAUAACAGAACCUAAUGUAACAGUUUUAUUAUUUUAGGAUCAUUAGAUGCUAGAUUAAGUUCAUUAGCCAGAUAAUAAUUAGCACUGAUGAUCCAGUAAUUCGGGUCGGCUACAUGAAUUCUCUUUCUCCAUUCAAUAUGAUUUUGGGCGACCCUUAUAGAAAGACCAAGAGCUGCUAGAUCAUUGUGUCCCACUUUUCUUAAAGUUUGCUUAGGUCUUCCUCUCCCUAUCUUCAGUCCAUCGAUUUAAUAUCUUCAACCUAAUAACGAUCAUUAUUUUUUUUCCUUCGUAAAAGUAAUUUAAUUAGCUAAAUUAUUAUUGGUGUUUCAUACUUACAGGUAAAAUCAAGUAAUGCUAUCAUCUAAAAUGCUAAAAUACUAUAAGAAAAUCUUAUAAACUUUUGUAAUACCACUUUUAAAAACUGUGUAUAUAUAAUACAUGCAUUAAAUUUAAAAUAGUUUAAUGGGGCUCUAACUCCCGGUUAUUCCCUAUUCUCUCCGCCCCUGCCACUAGUCUUUGCUUUCAUUUUUUUACCAAAUGACAGCUGUUCUUUUCCACUCCCACUCUUAUUAUGUGGGUUGGUAUGGUUGUAUAUUUCUAUUAAUUGUGAUGCUGACCCUAUCCUUGUAUCUUUGUGUUUAUUGUAUAAGUUGAACUUUUGUUCAAAACAGGACUAUUAGUUAAUGACUUUAAAGAGUUUCAGUUUUCUUUCUGAUAUGACAUUAAAGUUUGUAAAUAAGGGAAUUUAAGUGCGUAGCAACCAAAGACUAUGCUUAUUGAAUGUGCUUUAUAUCUUUUCCCUC